AAGACUGUACUUCACAGGAUCAUUUCUGUAGUACGUCUUCACUUCUCUCUACUCAACAGUAGAGUCAAUGAAACCACGAGGAUGAGACGUAGUCCUCUUCCCUGAGCGUGAGGCAGACGCGGGCUGACCAUAGUGUUAGACCGAGUCAUCGAUGAUCGUUCACUCCCUGCUUGCAGGGUGUACGGGGGGAGGGCACUCUGAGUGGU